AAGACGUGUUGAAAUUUUGACGAGAGAUUAAAAUGAAAAGUAACCAGAGCGCAUCAGAUGUGUAAAAUUUAAUUAUAUGAAAUGAUUUAAAUGACCAAUCCAAACAUUAAUUACAGAUGUAUUAUUAGAAAAGAAUAUAAACUGAACGAACUUAAGUCUUACUUUUUAUUAGACAAACGGAUAUUUCAAGGACUAAAAACUUUCACUUUAUUCAAUGGAAAAGACCCUAACUGGAUUAAGAAGCGGAUAAUUUAUGAACGAGUUUGAAGGCAUAUGGUUUAGAAAUGAUUGAUCAGAUGAUGAUUAUGCUUAUAGCCAUUCUUUUGCCUGUGGCGUUGUUUUUGCUGCUCUUGGUGUACUUUAACGAUGAACUAGAACAACAACCACCAUGCCAACGGGGAGCCCGACCUGGUGCCACUCUACUUGCUGUACGACAAGAGCUCCCAGCCUGUUAUGGCAACACAGGGACGUCGAAUACAGCAUUUUCUUCGGAUACGGGACAAUUUCAUGGCACCCGUACGUGUAUUAAUACUGGUGUGACACAUCCACCAAACACAUACAGCAACCCAAACACACCCACUGAUGUGAAUGGCACGAGUUCGGCUGAGCAUCCAACAACUGCAAGGAAACCCGAGCCAAAGCAACCUGGAGAAACCGCGCUAAAGACGGACGGACAGCCGUCCAGAACAAACCAUAGCGACGAACCAUCUUCUGUGAAUGGUCAAGGAACGGUAGAUCAACAGAAAGACACUAAUUUGUCUCCAGUACAACCUGAUGCAAAGGAAAUUGAACCUUCGGCACCAUACCGUGAAAAUUUAAUCUAAAGAUAACGCGAUUUACGGUCAUGGAUAAUUUAUCGCUUGUUAAGUGUAAAUGUUCGGACAUCAUUUUAAAUGUCUUACAUGUACUUGCCAGAAAUUUAUUAAUAACAGUUAUCCUGCAUUAUUCCGGUUAACGGGGUUUCUGUCAAUUUAUAUAACUUAUUUUUAAAUAAGUAUUUAUGUGAAUUCGAGUUGCGGUAAUUAACGUGCAGUUAUACACUUGAACCUGAUAAACUUUCAAUUGACACAGAAUGUCAUACUCAGUGUUUCGAUUGAUUAGAAAUGAAAUGAAAUGAAAUGGAGUUUAACGUUCUACUGUUCUGCACCUAACCUGGGCUAAUGAAGACGGGCAUACGCCAUACAGUGUGCUAUGAGGGAAAUUUUGCCCGGACAGCGGCACUACGGCCUACUCUUAUAUCGAAUUCCAACUGCCAAGGGAUCUUUGACCUGCACGCCAAUGUGUACACGGGACCUCGGUUUUUCGUCCCAUCCGAACGACUAGACAGCUUUCCUUGUCAGCCCCUCCGUCCUGCAUUACUGACAAGGGAGAACCACGCCGGAAAAUCUGGAUGAACUUUCUCGGCCAAUGCAGGGAUCGAACACCCGAUCUCCAGGCUAGCGAGCUGGCGUCUUACCCACUUAGCCACGAUUGAUUAGACCUAAUCCCACUGGAAAUUUCUGGAGCUUCGGGAAUAUGCAGAAUAUACGACUAUUCGAGGAUUGUGUUUUCUUAAAGUUUAAUAUCGGUGCACAAAUGAAUUAAUUAAAAAUCUGUCGAGCGGAUCGAGCAAUGUCAUUUUUGUGCCUAUAUGAGGAUGUGUUAGGUGACACAGUUAUCAAAAAUAGUGCCUCUUUCUUUCAACAUUACCGAAUCCUAUGUAGUUGUACUGUUAUGACCGGUUGAAAUUGGAUACAGAGAUUUCAUAGAAUUUCCGUGGGCCUGUUUAUAAUGAUAAUUUCUAUUUAAGAUUAUAGGUUGUUUUAAACAAAACUGUGUAGACAAAAUGAGUCAUCGAGCAUUUCCGAAUAUUAAGUGACCUGGCAAAAUUCUAUUAAAGUAUUAAAGCUAGGGUUACACAAUAAUGGUGAUGAUGUAAAGCCUACAUACAUUUAAUUCGACAAAAAGGCCAGAAAGUGGGCCAUAACGCCAUACACACUAAAUUAACUGAAGUAUGACACGAACAGAUUCAUUUUGAAAUAUUAGAUGUGUAUCGAAUGAAUGAAGAGCAAAUAUAUUAUUACUCUAUGAUGCUCUUAUGUUUACUUUUCAGAACAUUUGUGUGGAAAGUCAUUGUUCGAUAUUAAAAUGUAUUCAUAAAGGAA